rnacentral:rRNA from 1 species
AGAGUUUGAUCAUGGCUCAGAGCGAACGCUGGCGGCAGGCCUAAUACAUGCAAGUCGAACGGCUCUUCGGAGCAGUGGCGGACGGGUGAGUAACGCGUGGGAACGUGCCCUUUGGUUCGGAACAACACAGGGAAACUUGUGCUAAUACCGAAUGUGCCCUUCGGGGGAAAGAUUUAUCGCCAUUGGAGCGGCCCGCGUUGGAUUAGCUAGUUGGUGGGGUAAAGGCCUACCAAGGCGACGAUCCAUAGCUGGUCUGAGAGGAUGAUCAGCCACACUGGGACUGAGACACGGCCCAGACUCCUACGGGAGGCAGCAGUGGGGAAUAUUGGGCAAUGGACGAAAGUCUGACCCAGCCAUGCCGCGUGAAUGAUGAAGGCCUUAGGGUUGUAAAGUUCUUUCGCCGAUGAAGAUAAUGACGGUAGUCGGAGAAGAAGCCCCGGCUAACUUCGUGCCAGCAGCCGCGGUAAUACGAAGGGGGCUAGCGUUGUUCGGAAUUACUGGGCGUAAAGCGAGCGUAGGUUGCUCGAUAAGUCAGUGGUGAAAGCCCAGAGCUCAACUCUGGAACUGCCAUUGAAACUGUCGAGCUGGAAUCUCAGAGGGGGUAGCGGAAUUCCAAAUGUAGGGGUGAAAUCCGUAGAUAUUUGGAGGAACACCGGUGGCGAAGGCGGCUACCUGGAUGAGUAUUGACACUGAGGCUCGAAAGCGUGGGGAUCAAACAGGAUUAGAUACCCUGGUAGUCC